rnacentral:rRNA from 1 species
AGAACGAACGCUGGCGGCAGGCUUAACACAUGCAAGUCGAACGCUCCGCAAGGGGAGUGGCAGACGGGUGAGUAACGCGUGGGAACAUACCCUCCGGUUCGGAAUAACUCAGGGAAACUUGAGCUAAUACCGAAUACGGUCGAGAGGCGAAAGAUUUAUCGCCGGAGGAUUGGCCCGCGUCCGAUUAGCUAGUUGGUGAGGUAAUGGCUCACCAAGGCGACGAUCGGUAGCUGGUCUGAGAGGAUGAUCAGCCACAUUGGGACUGAGACACGGCCCAAACUCCUACGGGAGGCAGCAGUGGGGAAUAUUGGACAAUGGGCGAAAGCCUGAUCCAGCCAUGCCGCGUGAGUGAUGACGGCCUUAGGGUUGUAAAGCUCUUUCAUCAGGGACGAUAAUGACGGUACCUGAAGAAGAAGCCCCGGCUAACUUCGUGCCAGCAGCCGC